rnacentral:rRNA from 1 species
UACGAAGGGGGCUAGCGUUGCUCGGAAUCACUGGGCGUAAAGGGUGCGUAGGCGGGUUUUUAAGUCAGAGGUGAAAUCCUGGAGCUCAACUCCAGAACUGCCUUUGAUACUGAGAAUCUUGAGUAUGGGAGAGGUGAGUGGAACUGCGAGUGUAGAGAUGAAAUUCGUAGAUAUUCGCAAGAACACCAGUGGCGAAGGCGGCUCACUGGCCCGGUACUGACGCUGAGGUGCGAAAGCGUGGGGAGCAAACAGG